GCAGCCUGGCGGCAGGCCUAACACAUGCAAGUUCGAGCGGUAACAUGAAGUGCUUGCACUUUGAUGACGAGCGGCGGACGGGUGAGUAAUGCUUGGGGAUCUGCCCUAAGGUGGAGGAUAACCAUUGGAAACGAUGGCUAAUACUGCAUAGAAUCUUCGGAUUAAAGGGGGCUUCGGCUCUCGCCUAAGGAUGAACCCAAGUGGGAUUAGCUUGUUGGUGAGGUAAUGGCUCACCAAGGCGACGAUCCCUAGCUGGGUCUGAGAGGAUGAUCAGCCACACUGGAACUGAGACACGGUCCAGACUCCUACGGGAGGCAGCAGUGGGGAAUAUUGCACAAUGGGGGAAACCCUGAUGCAGCCAUGCCGCGUGUGUGAAGAAGGCUUUCGGGUUGUAAAGCACUUUCAGUUGUGAGGAAAGGUUAGUAGUUAAUACCUGCUAGCUGUGACGUUAGCAACAGAAGAAGCACCGGCUAACUCCGUGCCAGCAGCCGCGGUAAUACGGGAGGGUGCGAGCGUUAAUCGGAAUUACUGGGCGUAAAGCGAGCGUAGGCGGCUGAAUAAGUUGGAUGUGAAACACCGGGGCUCAACCUCGGCCGUGCAUUCAAAACUGUUCAGCUAGAGUUUUGUAGAGGGGGGUAGAAUUUCAGGUGUAGCGGUGAAAUGCGUAGAGAUCUGAAGGAAUACCAGUGGCGAAGGCGGCCCCCUGGACAAAGACUGACGCUGAGGUUCGAAAGCGUGGGUAGCGAACAGGAUUAGAUACCCUGGUAGUCCACGCCGUAAACGAUGUCUACUAGCUGUUUGUGUCUUUAAGACGUGAGUGGCGCAGCUAACGCACUAAGUAGACCGCCUGGGGAGUACGGUCGCAAGAUUAAAACUCAAAUGAAUUGACGGGGGCCCGCACAAGCGGUGGAGCAUGUGGUUUAAUUCGAUGCAACGCGAUGAACCCUUACCAUCCCUUGACAUCCACAGAAGAACGCAGAGAUGUGUUUGUACCUUCGGGAACUGUUAGACAGGUGCUGCAUGGCUGUCGUCAGCUCGUGUUGUGAAAUGUUGGGUUAAGUCCCGCAACGAGCGCAACCCCUAUCCUUAGUUGCUAGCACGUAAUGGUGAGAACUCUAAGGAGACUGCCGGUGACAAACCGGAGGAAGGUGGGGACGACGUCAAGUCAUCAUGGCCCUUACGGGAUGGGCUACACACGUGCUACCAAUGGCCAGUACAGAGGGCAGCGAGCUGGCAACAGUUAGCGAAUCCCUUAAAGCUGUUCGUAGUCCGGAUUGGGGUCUGCAACUCGACCCCAUGAAGUCGGAAUCGCUAGUAAUCGCAGAUCAGAAUGCUGCGGUGAAUACGUUCCCGGGCCUUGUACACACCGCCCGUCACACCAUGGGAGUGGGCUGCACCAGAAGUAGAUAGCUUAAUAAUGGGCGUUUACCACGGUGUGUUCA
rnacentral:rRNA from 1 species